rnacentral:rRNA from 1 species
UACAGAGGUCUCAAGCGUUGUUCGGAUUCAUUGGGCGUAAAGGGUGCGUAGGCGGCGCGGUAAGUCGGGUGUGAAAUCUUGGAGCUUAACUCCGAAACUGCAUUCGAUACUGCCGUGCUUGAGGACUGGAGAGGAGACUGGAAUUUACGGUGUAGCGGUGAAAUGCGUAGAUAUCUGGAGGAACACCGGUGGCGAAGGCGGCAUUCUGGACCGACAUUGACGCUGAGGAGCGAAAGCCAGGGGAGCAAACAGG